rnacentral:rRNA from 1 species
GUCUACUGCCAUACCACCCUGAAUAUCCCAGAUCUUGUCUGAUCUUGGAAGUUAAGCAGGGUUGGGCCUGGUUAGUACUUGAAUGGGAGAAUUCAGACAGAAUCAAAUA